rnacentral:rRNA from 1 species
AGCAGCCGCGGUAAUUCCAGCUCCAAUAGCGUAUAUUAAAGUUGUUGCAGUUAAAAAGCUCGUAGUUGAAUUUCGGGAUCAGACUGUCGGUCGUGCCUCGGUACGCACUGGCAUUAUUGGUUCCUACCUUCUGAAGAACCGCGAUGUCAUUAAUUUGGUGUCGUGGGGAAUCAGGACUGUUACUUUGAAAAAAUUAGAGUGUUUAAAGCAGGCGCACGCUUGAAUACAUUAGCAUGGAAUAAUGAAAUAGGACGUUUGAUUCUAUUUUGUUGGUUUCUAGGAUCGACGUAAUGAUUAAUAGGGAUAGUUGGGGGCAUUAGUAUUCAAUUGUCAGAGGUGAAAUUCUUGGAUUUAUUGAAGACUAACUACUGCGAAAGCAUUUGCCAAGGAUGUUUUCAUUAAUCAAGAACGAAAGUUAGGGGAUCGAAGACGAUCAGAUACCGUCGUAGUCUUAACCAUAAACUAUGCCGACUAGGGAUCGGAUGAUGUUAAUUUUAUAAUGACUCAUUC